rnacentral:rRNA from 1 species
AUUGAACGCUGGCGGCAUGCCUUACACAUGCAAGUCGAACGGCAGCAUGACGUGUAGCAAUACACGUUGAUGGCGAGUGGCGAACGGGUGAGUAAUAUAUCGGAACGUGCCCUGUAGCGGGGGAUAGCCCGGCGAAAGCCGGAUUAAUACCGCAUACGCUCUACGGAGGAAAGCGGGGGUCGCAAGACCUCGCACUAUAGGAGCGGCCGAUAUCGGAUUAGCUAGUUGGCGGGGUAAAAGCCCACCAAGGCGACGAUCCGUAGCUGGUCUGAGAGGAUGAUCAGCCACACUGGAACUGAGACACGGUCCAGACUCCUACGGGAGGCAGCAGUGGGGAAUUUUGGACAAUGGGCGCAAGCCUGAUCCAGCCAUGCCGCGUGAGUGAAGAAGGCCUUCGGGUUGUAAAGCUCUUUCGGCAGGAACGAAAUGGUCCGUGCUAAUACCACGGACUGAUGACGGUACCUGAAGAAGAAGCACCGGCUAACUACGUGCCAGCCGCCGCGGUAAUAC